rnacentral:lncRNA from 1 species
UAAAAAACGCAACAAAAUGAUCAUUCCAAUUUUGUAAAAAAAAAGAAAAAUAUAAUUUAUAAAAUAACGAAUAAAUAAAUAAAUAAAUAAACAAAUUCAUGAGUAGGUAAGUAAACGAGUGGUCAGGCAGGAGAUAAGACAGGCGAUAAAACAAACGACAUACGGACAGACAAACAAACAAACCGACCGACUAACAAACCGGGCCAAAGUCAUCACACAAUGAAAGACAUAAAACUGCUGUUAAAAAAAGUUAAAAUCCAAACGAAAAAGGAAUUUGAAAAAGAAGUAAAACUGUUAGUGGACACAAAAAAAUACUUCGAUAAGAUUAAAAAAAAAAGUACAAAUGAGAAAUGUAUUGCUAAAGAAGAAGAUGAUGAUUAUGCUGAUAAAAAAAAGUUGAAUGAAUGUCAUUCAUAUAUAAAAAGAGUUUACGAGGGUAUUGAACGUAUAAGUGUUUUCGAAAAUGGUUAUUAUUUUAAUAUAUUAAACUGUUAUGAUAAAAGUUCUUAUUACAACCAUUGUAUGAAUUAUGAUAAUAAAAACAUUAAUUUAUAUAAUUUUACUGAAGUAGAAGAUUCAGAAAUAGAAAAUAUGAUUAAUCUUUUUCAUAUUUAUAUAAUUCGAAAACAUUGUGAAAAGCAAUUUUAUGAAUGUUUACAUAAUAAAUUUAUUCGUUCUAUGACAUAUAAUUAUUUACAAAGGAAUAUAUUCUACAAACACGUUAUUUGUGACUUUUAUCUAUUACAUAUUUAUACACGAACUAUCGCUUUUAUAUUAUUAAAAAGUGAUUAUUCAAAUAGGUACUUAAUCAAAUUAUGUAGUGAAAUUCUUUCAAAAACACAUGACCUUUUAGAUAUGCUAAAAAAAAUAUCUUCACGUGAAGGUAUACAAGGACAUAGUAUCCAAAACAAUAUACCAUAUAUAAGCUUAAUCAAGUAUGUUUAUUUUAUAAUAGAGUUUUUAUGUAAAAAUAAAAAUUAUGAUUAUAUAAAUGUACUUUAUGGUUUGCAUUCGUAUAUUUCAGUUUAUUCAAAUAUUUAUUAUGCUUGUAUGUUGUCAUUUAACAAAGAGUUAGCUGAAAAAUAUAUAUCAGAAAAAAAAAAAAAUUUAAACUCUUUACAUAGUGAAAAAGAAUUAAGUUGUUCUGCAGUAUAUAAGAAUAACACAAGUACUAAUAAUUCACACAAAAAUAAUCCUUACAAUGAUGAUAACUUUAGUUUGUAUUAUGAAUACAUAAGUCUGUAUGCUAAUAAAGAUUUAAUGGAGUUAAAUGAAAAGUUACUAUAUUUUAUUUCAAAAGAAAAAUUAAAAAAAACAAAUUGUAGUGUUAAUGACAUUUUUCAAGAUUUGAAUAUAUAUAAGCAUGCUAUUAAUUUGAUAAAAAAAUUCUUUUUUACUAAUAUAUUUGUAUGUGCGAACAUAGACACAGAAAAUAACACUUAUACUUAUACUUAUACAGGUGCGGGUACGGGUGCUGAUACAUCAUACACAUGUACAGAUACAAACGACAAUUUAUUAUACGAUAAUAAUCACUAUAGUAACAUAUGCAAAUAUAAUAAUAUUUAUAUUACUAUUAUAAGCAAAAUAUACGAUUUCUCUCAACAGAGUCCUUUGUAUUAUGAACCUAAUUUAAAACUUUGCACAUCUUAUUUAAACAAUGAAAAAAAUAAUUGUAUAAAUCAUAAUCUUUUAAAAAUUGCAUCAAGUGACACUACAUAUCUUGAUCAGGAUAAGUAUUUAUAUGACCAUGAUGUAAAUAAUAGUUUUAAAAACAAUAAAAAUAGUCACCUAUUUUUUGAAAAUGUACAAUUUAAUAUAGACAAUCAUUUUUUUAAACAAUGUUUAAAGAAAUGUUGUACAUUUAAAAAACCAAUGGAAUUGGGAAUUAUUGAAGAAGAUGUCAUGGGUAGUUGGAAUAACCAUAACCAUAAUAAUACUAUGAAUAGUAAUACUCAAAAUGGAAUUACAAUUAUAAAUGAUACAUAUAAUAGUGAUUGCAGUUAUAGUAGUACCACAAGUGAUAGUAUAGACAAUUCAUGGUUAAUCGAAAAAGAACAAUUUUUAAAUACAUUUAAUAAUUCCAUUGAAAAUAAAGAAAAGGUUUUAAAAUGUAUAGAUGAAUUUUAUUAUAUUGCAAUAGAUUUUGAUAAAACAAUUAUAAAAAGAGAUUCGUAUAAUUUUUUUUUUAAGCUAUUAAUAAAAGAGUACUACAGUAGUAGUAGUAGUAGUAGUAGUAGCAACCAUAAUAAUACUAUCCCUACUAUAGCUACCUCCACUACUAUUGAUGCAAUUAACAAACAAACAACACUAACAGAUGAUGAAAUAUAUUUUUUUGACAGUUUUACUGUAGACAAAAUGAACAACAAAAAAGAACAUACAAUUGAAGAAAGAGUUUCAUAUUUUAAUAAAAUUUCCGAAUGGUUUUGUUUAAAAGAAAAAAAGGUUUUGAAAGAAUUAGAAGAACAAGAUAAAAUAGAAACAGUGUAUUCAGAAUCUUAUUAUUAUUAUCUUAAUGCAAUAGAUAAAAUACAUGUAAACUUUACUAUGUUAAUAUCAUAUUACGACAUAUUAAAAGGUGUUGAUUUUGAUUUAAUGAAUAAAAUAAUAAAUGAUAAUUAUGAAAAUUUCCAAUUAAAUGACUAUUUUUUAAACGUAUUUUUAAAUUUAAUUAAUUACAAACAAAAAAAUAUGAAAACAUUUUAUUUCGACGUUAUAACAUUAAAUUUUAAAAAACAAAUUUGCCUGAACACUUUAAAUCAAAAUCUAAUCAAACUAAAAAAAAUGAGCUAUGCUGAUGAUGUUGAUGAUGUUGAUGAUGUUGAUGAUGUUGAUGAUGUUGAUGGUGUUGAUGAUGUUGAUGGUGUUGAUGAUGUUGAUGGUGUUGAUGCUGAUGAUGAGCAUGAUGAGCAUGGUGAGCACGUUAAGCAUGGUGAGCAUGUUAAAAAAGAAAUGUCAACCGGAUUGGCUACUAAAAAAGAGGAAAGUAACUAUGUAUAUAACAUACAUGAUAAUAAUGAAAGAUGUGGUAACGACAUUGGUAAUACAAAUUGUGAUCAUGACAAAACCAAUGUAAACUAUUAUUACCAAUUUAAAAAAUAUUUCAACAUAUACUAUUCCAAAACACAUACAUAUAACAAACAAACUAGAAAACAUACUGGAUUGUUUGAAUUUAAUAAACUUAAAAUAAAACAUCAAAAUUAUAUCGAAAAUAAUAAUAAUAUAGAAUAUAUAACUUUUAUGUCACUCUAUGAUAAAACCUUAAUAAAAGAAAAAGUAUGUAACUUGCUUACAAAUAUAAAUCAUAAAUUAAGCACAUUUAUUGGUGAUAGCAUAAUUGAUAUAGAUGCGAUGCUAAGUUCCGACAUUCCCAUUUUAUUUGGGAAAAAUCCAAUCGUUUUAAAAUUUUGUGAAAAACAUAACAUAGCUAUUAAAAAUUUGAUGUGUGCUGCAGCAAAAAUUGAGUAUCUUAAAUUAAUAAAAAGAAGUGAGAAUGACAAAAGACAAAAAGAUUGUGCUGAUAAUAGUGUUAUCACACACAAUGUUAACAAAAACAACACCAAAAGAAAAACUACAAAAGAGAAAUUCAAAGUAAUAACUGAAAGUAGGAAUGAACAAUUAAAUGAUAUUUAUAAUGAAAAUCAAAAAGUCAUAUUUGCAACUGAAAGUUGGUUAGAGAUUGGUAUGUUUUUUUUUGGUAAAAUUUGAAGCAGAUUCAAA